rnacentral:rRNA from 1 species
UGGGGAAUUUUGGACAAUGGGCGCAAGCCUGAUCCAGCCAUGCCGCGUGAGUGAAGAAGGCCUUCGGGUUGUAAAGCUCUUUCGGCGGGGACGAAACGGUUCGUGACAACACCACGGACUAAUGACGGUACCCGCAUAAGAAGCACCGGCUAACUACGUGCCAGCAGCCGCGGUAAUACGUAGGGUGCAGGCGUUAAUCGGAAUUACUGGGCGUAAAGCGUGCGCAGGCGGUUUGUUAAGACAGGUGUGAAAUCCCCGGGCUUAACCUGGGAAUUGCGCUUGUAACUGGCAGGCUAGAGUGUGGCAGAGGGGGGUGGAAUUCCACGUGUAGCAGUGAAAUGCGUAGAUAUGUGGAGGAACACCGAUGGCGAAGGCAGCCCCCUGGGUUAACACUGACGCUCAUGCACGAAAGCGUGGGGAGCAAACAGGAUUAGAUACCCUCGUAGUCCCUGAGCGGGCUGGCAAGGCGCAU